AAGACCAUACUUUCAGGGAUCAAUUCUAUAGUUUGUUACUAGAGAAGUUUCUCUGACUGUAGAGUGCUGGAAACCAUGAAGAAAAGGUAUAGCUUUCUCCCCUGAGCAUGAAGCUGGCUGUUGGUGUUGCUUUGAUGCAACUGCCACUGGCCAUUGAUGAUUGUGCCUUCCAGGGAGCUGGAGGGAGAGGAUGCAGUCUUAGUGGC
ensembl:snoRNA U3 Small nucleolar RNA U3